UACGUAGGGUGCAAGCGUUAAUCGGAAUUACUGGGCGUAAAGCGUGCGCAGGCGGUUUUGUAAGCCAGACGUGAAAUCCCCGGGCUUAACCUGGGAACUGCGUUUGGAACUGCAAGGCUAGAGUGCGGCAGAGGAAGGUGGAAUUCCUGGUGUAGCAGUGAAAUGCGUAGAUAUCAGGAGGAACACCGAUGGCGAAGGCAGCCUUCUGGGCUAGCACUGACGCUCAUGCACGAAAGCGUGGGGAGCAAACAGGAUUAGAAACCCGUGUAGU
rnacentral:rRNA from 1 species